UGUGUUAUUCGUUUAGGAAUUGAUUCACUUUGCUCAGCUAACGAACGACUGAUUCGCCAAAAAGAUAGUAGAGCUCUUGCUGGAAGCUUGCCGAGAAAGUUUGAUUCCCAAUUUAGUGGAGGAUAAAAUGUUUUUUCUCCCACGUUAAAAGUACCUGGCUGCCACAGCACCUAAGUUUUAAGAAAGUAUUACAUCGAAAAUAAAGAUAUGUAUGGCAACCUGUGACAUUCCAACGGGCAUUCUAAAGGUAUGUUGUUUUUUAUAUGUUUUAUGAGUUUGCUGCUGAAUUGAAUUUUAUGUAGUGAACCUGCCAAGAAUGUGAUAUUUAAAAAAAUAAAGUUAACACAAAAGACAAAAAAGUUCUUGUUGCCUAUCUUACUAAGAAAACUGAAUAUUGACAUGAUGAAUAUAACAAAGCCUAAAAAAAUAUAUAAAUGCUAUGGCAACCCUUAACACUACGUCGGUAAUUCUAAAUAUAUGUUGCCAUGCAGCUUUUAACAGUUUUGCGAUUUUAUUGUGGAACUCUAUGUAGCGCAAGUGCGAAGAAAAGAAUGCUUAAUAAUAAAGCUAAAAAGACAAAAGGUAAAAAAGUGGGUUGUUAGAAAUAGGUGCAAAAGUUGUCUGGCAGUCUGCAAGAUGAAGUAGAGCGUAAAAAAGGAAAAAAAAAAAAAAAAAAAAA